GUCUCUUUUGAAAAUGGGGUGUUAUGUCCCGAGUCUCGCUUGGAAGGCUCCGCAAUUUCAAUUGUUCCAAAUAGUCUCUAUUUGAUGUGUUGCCCACAACGGUAGACGGUACGUUCAGGUCAGCCAUAGCCUGAAGAAAAGUAUCCCAGCCCAGAGGUAAUUUACGUACCGUAACAUUGUGACUCUGGGUAACACUACGUACCAAAUCGAGUAUAUUUGAUCCCGGUACAACAGUGUUUUUAUAAACAAAUUCACCCUUAUCAUUCCAAGCGGUAAUGUGCUUAAAUUGAGACAUUCUACUCAACA